rnacentral:rRNA from 1 species
AUACCCUAUUAUUAAGAAAAAUUAUAUUGUUAGUAUAUAAAUUGUAUGAAAACAAAAAAUUAUGGCGGUAUUUUAAGCUUUUCAGAGGAAUUUGCUCUUUAAUGGAUAAAACACCUAAAUCUUACUAAAUUUAGUUAAGCAGUUUGUAUACCACUAUUUAAGUAAUAAUUUGCUAUUAUUACUAAAAUUUAUAUUAAUUAAAAAAAGUUAAGUCAAGGUGCAGCAUAAAUUUUAGUAUGAAGUGAAUUACAUUUCUUUUAAGAAAAAUUUGUUGAAAAUAAAAUUUAGGAUUUGAAAGUAAAAUUUUAAUAGAAGGAAAAUUUGAAUUAAGCUCUAAAAUAUGUACACAUCGCCC